rnacentral:rRNA from 1 species
GUGAGGAAUAUUGGUCAAUGGACGGAAGCCUGAACCAGCCAUCCCGCGUGGAGGAAGACGGCCCUAUGGGUUGUAAACUUCUUUUCAAGGGGAAGAAAGUUCGCGACGUGUCGCGAUUUGCCGGUACCUUUGGAAUAAGCAUCGGCUAACUCCGUGCCAGCAGCCGCGGUAAUACGGGGGAUGCGAGCGUUAUCCGGAUUUAUUGGGUUUAAAGGGUGCGUAGGCCGAUCGAUAAGUCAGCGGUGAAAUACCAUGGCCCAACCAUGGAACUGCCGUUGAUACUGUCGGUCUUGAAUAUGGUCAAGGUAGGCGGAAUGUGUAAUGUAGCGGUGAAAUGCUUAGAUAUUACACAGAACACCGAUUGCGAAGGCAGCUUACUGGUCCAUUAUUGACGCUGAGGCACGAAAGCGUGGGGAUCGAACAGGAUUAGAUACCCCUGUAGUCC